UACAUCUGUUGCAAACAUUGGGGAUUGGAAUCGUGCAGAAUUCUAGAAUGUUAGAGCCGAGGACCAUCACAUUUUCUGUAAUUAUAUACUCUGCGCUUCUCAGAGGUGUGAAGGACAGACUGAAAUGCAGCCUUGUUUAUCUUGUCUAACCAUGGUGGCAGCGUCCAUAGCCAGAUCCAUUUUUAACAAAGCCCGUUUCGUGUCUCUCUAGCCAAACUCCCUUCCUCGAGCUUCUUCAUGUCAAAUUCCCCUCGACUGCACAAUUACCCUGGCACGGUCACGGGAAGUACUGCUUAUCUGCUGUGCCACACAGUGGUAGGUUGCUGUCUUGGGCUACAAGACCAAGGCCAGAAGCUACUUUUGUUUCCACGUCACCAGUUUCUCACUUCUUCAUGCUGUGUCAGCACUCCCCUUGGAAUUAUUCAUUUUGAAGGUACGGAUGAAAGUAAAAAUAAUUGCUAUUGUUUGUUUUGUAAAUAAAAUAGAACCAGGACCCUCCAUGUGGAAGCAUAAAGUCUCUCUUGCUACGUCUACAUGUGACCCAUCCACGUGGCAUGCCAGGAUCUACAACGGGCAAAAUGGGAUAAGGACAGGACCAAGCCACCCCACAGAGCAAGGGCCCAUUUCAAAGAUCUCGGCUAUGCCUCAAAAGGGACGUGCAGUUCAGAGGUGGUGAUCUACGGAAUAUCCGCCACAGUGGAAUCCAUUUACAUAAUUUGCUUUCGUAACUGAGAGUUCUUUUGGCACAAGCUCAGCGAACAUUAAUGAGUCAUUACAAUGAAAAAUAAAAAGGGAAGAGACACCAGUCUACCUAACAUUCUUGCUUUUUAGAUCUUUCUUCACAAUUUAAAUACUAUUUAUUGACUCUUCCUUAAUUGCUGGAGAAACCAAGAAAAAAGAAAAAAAAAAAAGAUUUCCUCUGAUCUCAAGAAGCUUGGAGUUGACUGGAGAAGACAGAAGACAUUAGGGCAGUAAGUGCUGUGACAGACACACGCACAUGUUGCAUGAAGGAAAACUAAGUCUCUAAGGAAGGGGAAGGAGGAAGUGACAUUGGAACUGAGUCUUCAAGGGACAGCUAUUACCAAGUGAAGAAGAUACCCUCGGGUUAUUACUUUUUGUUUCUCAAAAUCCAAGUUAUCUCGCAAAACAUCUCCAGAAGCCAGCUCUCCCUCCAGGUAUGUCAGCUGACCCUGAAGAGUCUCCAACUUGCUUUCUGCUUUCUGGGCCCUCUGAAGAGCUUUCUGGUGAAACCCAGACUCAUUUCCCAACUGUUCAACAAGCUCAGAUAUCCGGGCUUCAAGCUGGGAGACCAUCUGGAAACAAACAAACAGACAAGGAUAAGCCUUGUUUCGGAUGCACCAAAGUGUUCAAAUCUAGUGCUCAACCCAAGCAACAUAACUAUUUAUAACACCAACUUCCAGAUUCUUUGUAAAAAUUAAAUAAAAAACAGGUAAUUUGA